UACGAAGGGAGCUAGCGUUGUUCGGAAUCACUGGGCGUAAAGCGCACGUAGGCGGAUGUGUCAGUCAGGGGUGAAAUCCCGGGGCUCAACCUCGGAACUGCCUUUGAUACUGCACGUCUUGAGUCCGGAAGAGGUGGGUGGAAUUCCUAGUGUAGAGGUGAAAUUCGUAGAUAUUAGGAAGAACACCGGUGGCGAAGGCGGCCCACUGGUCCGGUACUGACGCUGAGGUGCGAAAGCGUGGGGAGCAAACAGG
rnacentral:rRNA from 1 species